GACGUAGGGGGCCAGCGUUGCUCGGAAUUACUGGGCGUAAAGGGUUCGUAGGCGGUGUGGCAAGUCGGGAGUGAAAUCUCUGGGCUUAACCCCAGUCCUGCUUCCGAUACGGGUGGACUAGAGGUAGGCAGGGGAGAACGGAAUCCUGGUGUAGCGGUGAAAUGACGCAGAUAUCAGGAGGAACACCGGUGGCGAAGGCGGUGGUCUGGGCCGGUACUGACGCUGAGGAGCGAAAGCGUGGGGAGCGAACAGG
rnacentral:rRNA from 1 species